CUGUGUUUUGUUAUGUCUGUGUUUUCAACAUUUUAUUUUUUUGAGCGGCGUGCUCUUUCUGACUGUAAACAAAGCCGUUCUCCACCUCCUCUAACCUGAUUGGUUGUGAGGCAGACGCUGCUCCCCCGUGUCGUUCAGGAGCCCAAACAAAGUUAGCGUGCUACAAUAUCGGACAGUAGAAACCAACCAGAAAGUUCGGAAAAUUGUCUGAAUCCUCCUUUGGCCACGACUGCCGACACAAGCAAGAAAACAAAGUAAAUACCGGAGACUCUGGAGGAAUAACGGGCGCUUAAAACGGAGGUAGACCGGACAAGAGCUAAAAAGCCGGGUCAACAUAAACCAUGGGGGACGCUUGGGGAUCUUGGUGACCCUGUAACCUUUCUGCUGGACAGGUAAACCGCUUUAACAAAGUAAGACAAGUGUCUGUAACAGAAGUGUUUCUUGUCAAACGGACCUGCUGUAGCGUGUUGUAGCGCCAUCGCUAAACUGUCCUCCCUCGGGUCCUGGACUAUGUCACUUUAUCCUCGUUGUAGAAGUCCUGCAAACAUUGUGUUUGCUGGUAGUCUGUUGGCAUCUACAGUAGCACCAAUGCUUUUGACUUUCACCUUGACUGGGCCCCAUUUGUAAUGAUCUGAAGUAUUUAUCUGCAUUAUAUCUGAAUUUAAUUGGAACGAUACGAGCGAGCAGGAGCGUCUGUUUGUGGGCGGGGCUUGCUGGAGCAGCGAGUGAUCGUGUUUGAAGCUCUUCAACACAAACUCUCUUAAAUCAGUCCUCUGACGUCUCCACCGUCUUUCUUCAGAACACACUCUGCCUCCAAACUCGUCCAGUUAACCCCGUUUGCUUCCUCCAUUCGUUGUGUUCAUUUCUUCAUCUCUCUGAGACAAACCUCACACGGCGGUGGAUCAGCUGACGGCGUCCUGCCCUUGUUGCCGUUCCUCCGUCUGUGGCGGCUCUGUUGGUUUCACUUGGCAGGACGGUUAAAUUGGAUGACUCUGCCUCGCCCUCGACUUUGUGGCUCUCGGGUUAAAGAUUUUUUCACGGCUCGGACACAGACAGAUUUACGGAGUGGCAGACACACUAUAAAUAUGCAGUAAUGAAACUCAUGAAAUAUUUAUUGAGCAGCUUCCUCCUCCAUAUUUCUCCGGUCAGGUGGGAUAUAGUGCUCUGUGAAAUACGACUGCUAAGUUUACUGUGAUGACUGAGUGUGACUGUCCCUGCAACUAUUCAGCCGGAGGAUUUUAUCUGGUUACAUUUACAUAAAUCAGUUUCAAACAAGCAUCGUACUCUGUCUCACAAGCGUCCAAUAAGGACUCUGUAUGAGAUGCACAGACAUGAUAUUCACCUGAUCAAUAAAUCAGAUGAUCAUUCAGAAGUUCUUGAUCAUAAAAUCAAUAUUUGAAAAUAAUUGGGUAAAGUUCACAGGAAGAACAGAGCGAGCUUUUACUUUGAAAUGCUGAUUCUAAACGCUCUUUGCAUAAAUACAGACGAUUUAGAGCCGAUACAGCUCGGCUUUGAUUCCUGAGCUUUUCUUCAGAUUUUUGGUGCAUGAAACUGACACGAGAUGUCUGAUAACAUGCAUGAGAAAGAGCAGAUUUUACCAAGAUGUGUUUUGUCUAUUAGUCGCUGUAAUCAGAGGAGGCGGGAAAGUGCAGGUCCAUGAGAGUCUGGAUUUGGGUCGGACAGCGUGGGGAAAUCAUCAAAGGGUCAAGGCCAAGAUCUGAACAUGCGACUGAAGUGUUGAGGUGUGCAGUCUUGGUGAAUCAGGUACUUACUCUGCAGACAAAAGCUGACCCCAAACUUUCACUGCAUCGGGAAUGGAUCUGAUCCGGAAUGGUGACGAUUUUCGCCGUCUGCCAAUUCCUACCAGAUCCAUUUGUGAGGCGAAUUUCAUGGUGGAUUACGGACAGCACGUGAAUCACGAGAACUCAGAAGAACCCGCGGAUUCACGUGCAAUCGAGCGAUAACAAUUUGUCUUUAGCCACUUAGGCUAACCAUAUAAGCAGUAGAUUGUGUCCUUCCAGAGGAGGAAAUCUACUUCUAGACUUCUAGAAUCAGCAUCUCCUCAUCCAUAAUCUGUGCUGAACUUAUGCGGCGUCUGGAGAAAAUAGAACCCUGGUGAUCUGUGAGUCCGCUGAACUGCAGGGGGCCGUAAAGAAGUCGGUGUAAAUUGACACGUUAACUUGAAUGGUUACGAUCAGCUAUGAUCUGCAGAUACGACCUUUACGUAGCCGUUUUUGGAUGGAAAUUGGGGGUUAGUAAAACCAGAGAUUGGACUGGAGCCCUCUGGAGCUCAGCUCCGCCUCCUCACCUCGUCAGAACCUCUGCUUCAGUGUUUCAUUUUAAUCAUGGGUGUUGCUGCCAAAAAUCUAUCAUUUGGAUCCCUAUCGAUACGUCAGCCUGUUGACUCAGCGCUGUUUUCAGAGCGCCGUGACAGAGCGUCAUUACUGACUCCGUUCUGCGUGUUUAUUGAGAUAAAACCUGAACCAAUAAAACUCCAGUUUUCACUGCUACCGGCAUCUUCUCGCAUACCGCACAAGUACACGUACGCACAAGGUGGGUGAAGUAACUGUCACAGUGAAAUGUUAACUUUGUUAAUUUACUGAAACUAAAUAUUUUCAUUUUUCACCUUAACGUUUCUGUAAUAAAGUCUCUACAGAGCUAAUUCUACGUUAGCAAACUGUGAAAAGAUAAGGAGAGUGAGUAGUUUCCAUGUGAAUAACCGUCCUUCUCAUUAGCUAACCGUAGACUAGCUAAUGCUAAGUGAGUGUUUCCCAUUAAUCAAGUCAUUCCUCCACGGUCUCUCACAAUAAAAAAAAAUAAAAUAGUUGUUACAUCGCGCCCCCCUCCCUCUCCCGCCAUGAUCACAGUCUUCUAAAAACCUCUGGGAAACACAACAAAUAGGACUCCCCCGUCUUACACAAACCAAUUUAACCACCGAGAACAACCUGAAACUUUGUAAAGUGAAGUGAGACGAGAAGACAAACUCUGGAAACAGCUGCAGACAUCCAGACAUCCACCCCAGGCACCUACUUGUUAAACAUAAAUGUGUUACAAAUAUCCUUGACAAACAUGCAGCUCAGUAAACAAAGAGAAUGUCCAGGAGACAUGUUUGUUAAAGGUAGAGUCUGAUCUCUCUCUUCAAAUCCUAUUAAAGAUUGAUCUAAAGAUGUUUGAGGAAAAGAGCCGGCUGCCCUCCCCUCCCCUCCCUCCACACCACGGCGGCGGUAUUUAAGUCCUGCAGGGAAGACGGCUGCAGAUGAGACGGCGAGGAGGCCUGGAUGUUGAGAUUAAAGGAGAGUGUCCUCGUGUUUCUCAGAGCUGAAAGAAAGCUGUCUUUUCCUCUCCGCACCCACGAGAUGUCCGACCGUUUUAAUGCUUCAUUUCUCUGCCGUCGACAGCCCAGGGUUCAUUCCUCUCGUGUUCUCAUUAAGCUCCCCUGAGCGGACGCUCUUGUAUGACAUUGACAUUUUAUGUAACAUGUCAAACCGCUCUGAAAACCUGGGAGGCCUCUCUCUGUUAGCGUCGAAUCAUCUGUGUGCCAAAAGCCUGAUCUGAAUCACGAGAAUCGCACUGGCAGGAUGAAAGCGUUGGCUUGUGUGGAGAAAAUCUGUCCGUUUUUCUUCAAGAUUGGAUGUUGGCUUUCUGUCUGUUUGGGCUUCGUUUUUACUCAAGGUUCGUAUCUGCCUCAGAGCACCAGCGACUCCCUGAAUGAGAAAAAAUCACACCCUCAAAACUCAAAUGGAUCUUGGCGAGGAUGCGUUUCAUCUGCCGUUACGGCUUUGUUUUACGGUUUUGAGUCCCGCAGCUGAGCGGCGCCGCAGACAAACGCUGUCAGUGUUUGUUUGCUCAUUUGGCAGCACUUUUAACACACUUAGAUUUUUAGAAAGCUUUUAUACAAAGAGGAACGCCACAUGGGAGCAACAGCUUGUGCAAACAAAAUCUUAAGCAAAACUACCCACCCAUAAAACAGCAGACAGCCUCACACUCACUCACAGAUGCAUCUCUUUGCCCUCCACCACCUACAGUGCAGAAGAAGAACGACACUUUUCCUCACAAACACAAUCUCGCCAGGAGCUGUCUGACUUUGUCACGCUGCAGGUUAAUCCGUUCUUACGAGACGACGGAGCCGCUGAGACAAUCAGGACUCUGAAUGUGUCUGUCUGACGGAGAGACAAAGAGACGAAGCUGUGUCGACGACCGAUGGGAGCUUUGAAUUUCCUCCCCAGACACACCAGGACAUGUCGUUUUUAACAUUUAGAGAUAUAACAGGCCGGAUUUAAACCAUCUGAAGCGGACAGUUGAAGUGGGGUUGUGUCCAACAGGGUGAAGAGAGGUUGGAUUAAGUCUCGUUAGGACUCAAAGGAGCGUUUUGGGCGCAAAACAAGUCCUAUUUUCUUAAAGGGAAGGGUAGGGCGGCACAAUUUUGGCCAAAAGUAAAAUCCAGAUUUUUUUCUCUGAAAACUCGAUUUUGAUUUUUUAUUCAGUGACAACUUCACCAAACUUCACUUUAAAAAUAUUUUUUUUUCUAUCAUCUCUCAAAACGAAAUAACUGAAAACGAUGUAUUGCAUAUGCCAAGCCAGUAAGUGGCUCUGUAACGCUGCACAGGAAACGCACAAUAGACAGAAGAAGAGUACAGAGCAUGUACUGGGUGAAACGCCAAAAAACGUUAGCGUUUACUCCUGAGUUCUUUUCUGUGUGGACAUGUUGAUACCACCUCCAACAAUGAGUGGUUUGCUCUUCAUCUGAAACUGUGAAGUCGUACCAAUUCAACACGACUGACUCACUCUUGUCCUAUUUAACCACAAAUUAUCGCCUUCUUCUACAAACCCCACAUUUAUUUACACCGGUGUGUGGGAACUGGGGAGCCCUCCCGCAGGAAGAGGGAGCCUACGGUGGCCUACAGGUGUGAGACAUGAUAGAGAGGAAAAUUUUGAUUUGAGGAUUUUAGUUUUUUUUAACAUAGUCAUAAUCAAAUAACCUGAUUACUAUUGAAAAUCAAUUAAUUGUGCAGCCCUCGGAAGGGGUGUUACUAUUUACACAACAGACAGGGUUUUAGCAGCAUAUCCAACUUCCUUUAAUGUUUGUGUAUAUUUGAUGGAGAGCUCGAUGAUGGUCUGACCCCCAAUUUCCACCGCAUCCAGAAUGACUACGAAAAGGCUGUAUCCUCCGAUUGCAACCAUUCAAGUCAACAUGUCAAUUUCCAUCCUGAUCACAAGAGUUCUAUUUUUCCUGGACGCUGGAGCAUGCUGGACUGAAGUAAAGCAGGUGAGCUCUAGCAGGCCUGGUGCAUGUUGGAAGUUUGUUCAGGGUCCAAAAUUUUGGCCCACAAAGUCCUCAAGGAACACAUCAAGACUAGACCAAGACUGGGACCAAACCUGAUCUUUUAAAAACCAUCAAGCUGAACACGUCGGGCCUCUCUUCCUCAGGUGUAUUUGGAUGUGCGGUUUGGACUCGAUCAGAAACGUCUCCUGUCAGAUCUGGAACAACAGCGCCGAGCCUGUAACUGAUGAAACUCCUUCAAAUGUUGUCUCUGCGCCUCGUGUCGGCACACUCAGUCAAACUUGUUUAGUAAAAGCAUCAACAAGAGCGUUCCCGGGUGUUUAUUGCUCGCUGUGUUUAAAGUGAUCCUGAUAUGGCGAACACCCCCCACCCCCUUCGCCUCUCUCUGACUCACAUACUGAUGUGUUUUCUAUCGAUUUGCAGACCGCCCAGGUUUCCUGCUCCUCUCUCUCUCUCUCUCUCUCGGUGUGUGAGGAGUCACUUAAUGGUGCGUUACUAACUCCAGCCCAGUCAUCCUUUACAUGCUGCUCUCACAAGAAGCCCUUCACCCUGGAUAUCCAUUACUGCCGGACUGUAUAGUAACGCAGGCCCGACUCAUAACAUAUUUAUGAAUGCGGCCUGAGGGAGGCUCGCGCUCUGAAUGCUAAUGUGAUGCUCAGCCUUCGCAUUUUUAUCGCCUCUUCCUCCUCUGCUUUUUUUUAACCGGAGGAGUGACACUGCUGGAUUGAAAUGUCAGUCACCACCUGGAAUACUUUUACCGACACCUUUUUAUCAGGCUGCAAACCAAACAAGUCCACGCUGCCGCUUCGUAACUUUGACCUCUGCAAGAAAAAAAAAAAAAAGAUCUGAUUUGGUAUUAAAGCCUCGAAGGUUUGUGACGCAUAUUUUAGAAAGAUGGAACCUGAUAAAAGUUUAGAGAUUGGUAACACGCUCCGACGUGCAACAAGUGGACCAGCCUAUCAGACAGCAGCAACGGGAGGAGGAGAGAGGAGAGCAGGGAGAGGAGCAGGAGAUGUUUGUGUUUGUCUGAAAAGCGGCAAACACUAAUGAGCUCAGGCUAAUUUUCCAACCCCUAUAAUAAAACAUUGUCUUAAUUCUUGACUUUAUAAAGAACCAAUUUCUUAUUUGAAGUCUGUGUUUGUCUUUCAAAGAGCUCAGACUUUUUAAGUUUUAAAGAGCUUUGAAAAAGCUAGAAAGUGAUCCCACAUGUGACAUAGGCUCAUAUCUUAAUAUAUUUCCUUUCUGUAUUAAAAUUAAAGGCUUUAAAUGACUGACUGUGGUAGUGUUGAUAAUUCAGAUCCACAAUUUAAAGGUGGAGUAGUCAGGAUCUGAGUUAGUUCCAGUUUUUAGGAGAAAUCUUGAAUGUAAACUCUACCCCUCCCAACCAGUUUUCCUCUCAGCUCCUCCUCCAGAUAAAUACUUCAGAUCAUUACAAAUGGGGCCCAGUCAAGGUGAAAGUCAAAAGCAUUGGUGCUACUGUAGAUGCCAACAGACUACCAGCAAACACAAUGUUUGCAGGACUUCUACAACGAGGAUAAAGUGACAUAGUCCAGGACCCGAGGGAGGACAGUUUAGCGAUGGCGCUACAACACGCUACAGCAGGUCCGUUUGACAAGAAACACUUCUGUUACAGACACUUGUCUUACUUUGUUAAAGCGGUUUACCUGUCCAGCAGAAAGGUUACAGGGUCACCAAGAUCCCCAAGCGUCCCCCAUCGUUUAUGUUGACCCGGCUUUUUAGCUCUUGUCCGGUCUACCUCCGUUUUAAGCGCCGUUAUUCCUCCAGAGUCUCCGGUAUUUACUUUGUUUUCUUGCUUGUGUCGGCAGUCGUGGCCAAAGGAGGAUUCAGACCAUUUUCCGAACUUUCUGGUUGGUUUCUACUGUCUGAUAUUGUAGCACGCUAACUUUGUUUGGGCUUCUGAACGACACGGGGGAUCAGCGUCUGCCUCACAACCAAUCAGGUUAGAGGAGGUGGAGAACGGCUUUGUUUACAGUCAGAAAGAGCGGACCGCUCAAAAAUGUUCAAAUGUUGACGACACAGACAUAAGAGAACACAGAGAUAUCGAUAUAUUACCAAAUAAUCAAUAACUAAUAAGAUUUUUGUAUAAAAACCACAAAAUAAAAAGAUGCUUCUUUAACAGACUCCUGUCUACUUCACCUUUAAGUCGGUUUUCUUCUUGUGGACCAGACUUCUUUCCUUAGACUAGAGAUCAGCUGGACUCUCUCAUAUGAACACUGAGCCCCCCCAUGCUCUCUCUCUCUCUCUCUCUCUCUCUCUCUCUCUCUCUCUCUCUCUCUCUCUCUCUCUCUCUCUCUCUCUCUCUCUCUCUCUCUCUCUCUCUCUCUCUCUCGCUCUCUCUCCCUCUCUCUCUCUCUCUCUCUCUCUCUCAGGGUGAGUUCAUGUUGUGGAGAUCUGAUCCUGAUCCAUCAGUCUGUAUAAAACCAUAAACGGCUCAUAAACCUGAACUCUGGUUCGUCUCUCACAUGCUGUCCUCCAUCAUGAACUCGUGACUCCAUGAACUUGGACUGUGAACUUACUGUCGUUAUCUCCUCUGGAGUUUACAGCCAGCUGUGGGCGUGUCUACGAACGUCUGCACCACACAGAUGAAGCAGCGCCGCUUUUAUCGGAAUAAUAAAUCUAAAAGUCGGAAUCAUAACGAACUUUUUAUUGGACUCACAAAUCAGGACACAGCUCAGAGUUUCCUGAUCCUGGACCAGGACCCUGGAGUUCUGAGUUGAUGUGGACUUAAAACUUUACAAAAUGUGAAACAACUUUAAACACGUUUAAAAUCCAGAUUAAGUCUAAAGAGUCAGGGAUUAACGGGAUUAAAGUCGUUUUUACAUGAAGUUUGUUUUAAAUCCAAAUCUCUCUCUGUCUGUAUCUCUAAGUUUGGACUGACAGAAGUGAGAGACGUGAGUUUGACCACAGAAAUAAGUCUCAUUUCUCUUUGACAAAAAUAAACUUGGACGGAGCGGUAACAUGACAUCCAGCAGAAACAGACACAAUAAAGACAAACAGACGAGGUGAUUUCAGUGACUCAGUUUGAGGAUUUUUAUGAUUUUUUUACCCACAAUCAGAGACUUGACCACAAUCUGAGCUGAGUCAGAAACAUCCAAACAGUCGGACUAAUAAAUGUGAUUAUUAUUAUUAGAGUGAUUAAAAAGCUCAUAACAACAUGUAGAUCUGUCCAAAGUCUGAUUCUAGAUGUUUUUACAAACACACUGAUCCAACAGAAGCAGACAGAAAUAUCCAUCGAUCACAUGAACACAAAUAUUCAGCAAACAGAGAAAGAAACAGAUCAUCUGAAGAGUUUUUGGGGACGACUGGAAAGACUUUAGACGCUUGGAUUUGGGACAGGAAAUAAGGUCGUCCUUUUUCUGUGAUUUUGACCUCACUUUUUUCUAAAGUCUCAGACCUUCAACAUCUGCACCAACUGAAGGUGAUUUGAACAAACCAUCAUCUUGAUGUUGUUGAUAUCAAACUUUAUGAAGAUUUUUUCAACAUGAGAAAUACAAACAAUCAAAGUUCUCCACAAUCACUGUCCUUAAAGCUGCGACCAAAUCAGCAUCUUUAGAAAAGAAUCAAAAAGCUGAAAUGAAGAACUAAACCCAGAGUUUUUGGUGAGACUGAUCCACAAACAUUUACAAACCAGAACAUUUCAAGAGUUCAAGGAUCUCAGUCCAUGAUUUUGGUCUGAUGGACUCAAAAUUCUCUUUAUUUCACUUCUAUAAACUCAGCAGAGGCUCCAUCAGACCAGGGGAUCAGUCCAGCAUGUAGCGGUUCAGUGAAUGUGGUCUGGACUCUGUGGAGGAGACUCAUGGUUUCAGAGACGCUGUAGAAGGACAGAAUACCUGCUCUGUGAUCCAGGUACACUCCUACUCUGGAGGACUGAGGACCUGAGACAUCAGUGCGGACUUUGUUGUGAACAAAUUGAUACCUGUCUUUAGAACAGAAUAACAUCCAAGAUUUGUCAUUUCCUCCAAAUCUACAAUCCAAUGAGUCCCCGUCUCUCCUGAUAGUCUUGUAUGCGACUGCUACAUAAACCCCGUCCCCUCUCCAGUCCACCUCCCAGUAACAACGUCCAGUCAGACUCUCUCUACUCAGGACCUGAAGAUAAUCAGUGAAUCUGUCUGGAUGAUCAGGAUAAGACUGUUCUUCUUCUUCUUCUUCUUCUCCUGUCAAUGUUGCUCUUCUGUUUCCAUCAGAUAAUAACAGCCAUUCGUUUGCUGUGUUUGGAUCCAGUGUGAUUCUUCUUGAAUAUCUUAAGAAACCAGCUCUGGUCUUUGGUUCUGGUUCUAACAGUAAAACAUCCACUUCAGUCACUGCCUGUGAGACGUUUGUCCACGUCUCUGUCAGAAGAUCCUGGAGUUUCUCUCUGACCUCUGACACAGCUGCUGUCACCUCCUCAAAGUAUCUCUGAGGACGGAUGUAGAUUCUGGAUGAGUCUGCAGGUUGACCCGGUUCUGACAGUGAGGGGUAGCUGUGCAGAAACUGGUUGUGGUCCUCUGUGAGUGAGAGCUUCUGCAGAUCAGCGUCUUUCCUCUUCAGCUCAGUGAUCUCCUGCUCCAGUUUCUCCUGAAGCUCUUUGACUCGACUCACUUCACGUUCCUGCUGGGAUCUGACCUGCUGCUCCACCUCAGAGCGGCGUUUCUCCAUCAGACGGAUAAGCUGGGUGAAGAUCUUCUGGCUGUGCUCCACAGCUUUAUCAGCAGAGCCGUUGAUAGCCUCCACCUCCUGUUGGAGCAGCUUCACAUCUUCUUCUCUGUCCUGGAUUCUCUGCUGGAUGUUUUCUCGACUCUCCUCCAGAUCUUUCUGCCUCUCAGUCCUUUCUGCUGCAGCUGAGACUGUGUCGUGGCCUUUGUGUUGGUCCAAACAGCAGAGAUGACAGAUAGACUUCUGAUCAGUGCGACAGAACAUCUUCAUCACCUCAUCAUGAUCAGAGCAGAUGUUCUCCUGGAGCUUCUUGGAGGGCUCCACCAGCUUGUGUUUCUUAAAUGAAGGUGAUUCAAAAUGAGGCUGGAGGUGAAUCUGGCAGUAAGAAACCAGACAUUGAAGACAGGACUUGACAGCUUUCAGUUUUCUCCCACUGCAGAAAUCACAGGCCACAUCUUCAGGUCCAGCCUCAGAGGAACCAUCAGGAGCAGCUUGGAGUCCGCUCUUCUUCACUUCCUCCACUAAACCUGCUAACAUGGUGUUUUUCUUCAGGACAGGCCUCGGUAUGAAGGUCUCUCUGCACUGAGGACAGCUGUAGAUCUUCUUCUCAUCCUCAGUAUCCCAGUAGGAUUGAAUACAGCUCAUGCAGAAGCUGUGUCCACAGGAAACAGUCACCGGAUCCUUCAGAAGAUCCAAACAGAUGGAACAAGAGAAAGACUCACGGUUCAGAUGAACUCCUUUCUGCGCCAUUUCAACACUCCCUGUCGACGACGACUGACUGAGUUUUUUUUCCUGAGAAGUGAAACUAGUCUGAGCUCUGAUCUCAACAACAUGUGAGUCAGCAGGAUAUGACCUCAGCACACGGAGGUUACACCCGCCCUCAAACUGUAGAUCUGAAGGGGAGGGAGGAAGGCAGGGAAGGAAACAAGGAAGUGAGAGUGCAGAGUGAAGUGAGCUGUGAGAGACGAGGGAGGGGGGGAUCCAGUUUGUCUACAAUCCAGGACGAGGAGCGUCUCUGUGAACUUUAGACUCUCAAACUCCAACAAGCAGAAGUUCUUAAAGCUGCAGCCGUCCUGAAGAUCAACUGAACCAACAUUUAUUCACCUCAUAGAAACCUCAUCGAGCAGAAACACACUUCAACUGUUUUAGAGCCACAGAGUUAAAGAGACAACACACACACACACACACACACACACACACACACACACACACACACACACACACACACACACACACACACACACACACAUUCUCUCUCUCUCUCUCUCUCUCUCUCUCUCUCUCUCUCCCUCCCUCUCUCUCUCUCUCUUUUCUCUCUCUCCCUCUCUCUCUCUCUCUCUCUCUCUCUCUCUGGUUUGUUCUCGUCGUUUAUUCUCUCUUUUCUCAUCCUCCUUUCUCUAAUCUGUGUCUCCUCUCUCUCUCUCUCCCUCUUUUCUCUUUCUCUCUCUCUCCCUCUCCCCCUCUCCCCCUCUCUCUCUCUCCCUCUCUCUCUCUCUCUCUCUCUCUCUCUCUCUCUCUCUCUCUCUCUCUCUCUCUCCCUCUCCCACUAAGGUGAUCUUCUCCAGUGUUCCCAGCUGAGCCGUGGUCUCUCACAGAUGUCAGGUCUAGAUGAUCCUAAAUCAGAGGAAUGAGGAUCUUAAUCUGGUCUAAUCUGAGGAUCGAUGACUUUGACUCUCGUUGAUGUCACCUCUGACAACUCUCUGACCCUAACAAACCUCAGCCCUCACACUGACAGGGAGCUCUGAAUCCUUUUAGCUUCACUGGUUUAUAAGUCGCUCAGUUUUCUCUGCAGUGUUCUUCUUCUUCAUGGAUUUUAUUCAAACUCUAAUUUUCACUUUGUCACUCAUUAAUACGGUAUUUACUUUGUUUUCUUGCUUGUGUCGGCAGUCGUGGCCAAAGGAGGAUUCAGACAAUUUUCCGAACUUUCUGGUUGGUUUCUACUGUCCGAUAUUGUAGCACGCUAACUUUGUUUGGGCUCCUGAACGACACGGGGGAGCAGCGUCUGCCUCACAACCAAUCAGGUUAGAGGAGGUGGAGAAUGGCUUUGUUUACAGUCAGAAAGAGUGGACCGCUCAAAAAUGUUCAAAUGUUGACGACACAGACAGAAGAGAACACAGAGAUAUCGAUAUAUUACCAAAUGUCAUCAAUAACUAAUAACUAUUGACUGAUAUUAAAAGAUUUUUUGUAAAUACACCACAAAGAAAGAUGCUUCUUUAACAGAAUCCUGACUACCCCACCUUUAACUAGCCUAACUCUAACACUAUUGAUGCUUUGAAAUGUAGAUCUAAAUUUAGACAGUGUGCUUUCUACAUAAAGGCGAGUCUCAGACAUUAAAUCUUAUAACAAAAUUGAGGUGCUGCUAUUGUGGUAAAAACAAACCAGAGCUGAAGCUAUUUUAGAGCAAAGUUUUCAAGCUAUGUAGUAAUAAUGAUAAUUGUUUAUAAAAAGUUUGUGUUUCUGACCUCGUUAGUUUGUUUCAUUUAGUUUAUAUGUUUAAUGUUUGUCAGAGGGGCCCCUUGAGGGUUUUUCCUUGGGGCCCCAGCACACUCUAGAAUCGACUCUGACUGUACCGACUUACAGCGAUGACUCUGAUCUCACAUAAAUCCUCUUCAGCUCUCAGUGUAAUGAUCAAACCCUCGAGGCUCCGAGUAAAUGAGAUAAUAUAGUCGCGGGGCGUUCUGCACAUGCUCAUGUUUGUCACAUCCAUGUAUGUGGAAGAAGCAAUUUGCAUCAACAGGACUGGAAGAAAGCGAGUUUAUUGGUCCCCUAACACCUCUGGGCUGGAAAAUCCUCACGGUCUGAUCAAACCAGAACUCUGAGGCGGGUCUGAGGUCCGUUUCAUCAACAGGAAACUGACUCACACAAAGCUUUGGUCGGGACUUGAUGCCUGAUGGACAAAGAGACUCAGUUACAGGUUUGAAAAUGAAGAAAAAUCACCGCAGGUCAGAUUUUUAUUGCCGCCACUUUUAAUUCUGUCGACACAAACGUGAUGUAUCCACAAGGACGCGUUUGUCCUUCAUGAUACGUGUGUUUGAACGGACAGAAGCACCACAGCUCACAAGUUCACGUCUUUCGAAGUCAAAAUCAUGAGACACGUUUCUAAAGACAUUUAAAAAGGAAACAAAACUCUUAAAAGGAUUUUAUGCAACAAUUCAGUCCAAUUUAAACAAAUUCAACAUUUGCGUCAUUCGCGCCGCCAGAGUAGUAGGAGCAUCUAAUCGCGUCUUUGCAUUGACUUGUAAUUCAUUCGCGUCAAUAAUUUUACUCGCGCUUGGUGUGUGGAGACAGUUAAAGUGUUGACUAAACUUCGCUAUAUAUUUUAUUUUUACUUUCUUUUACUCCCUGAUAAGUAAUUUCACUUCACGCCUGAUUUUGACGUUAUUUCAAUCGACACACUCCAGUGAAAAUGGACGUCGCUCACAUAGUGGUGCGACAGGGAUGACAUGGGGCCCAUUUAGGUGGGUAUCCAUCUAAGAUGUCAUUGUAAUGUGACGACUAGUUGUUGCAAUAUUUUAGGACAUUUUUGUGGGGUAAGGUUCGUCAGCCCUUGGGGGCCCCCUAGUGGCCUGGGGCCCCAGUCAACUGCCUGCCUUACCUGUUGACAACCUCCGGCCCUGAAUACAGCGAGUGUUUUAGUGUGAAAAGGACAAAACUGGGACCACAGAUAAACAUAAAGUAUGUGAGGAAGCAUGGAGAGGAUGUGACAGUGUGUGCCUGAAGAAUUACCCUGUAAGGUAUCAUUCACAGACUCUUUAUACAGCAGCUGUGCGCUCUAAGUACCCGCUCUUUUCCGCUGUCACUUUUUCAAAGUUAAACUUGAAACGAGUGGAAGAAAGAUGUGCAAAGUUAAGAAUACCUCGCAGCAAAACUGAGAUGACAUCUGGAGGAUUUCAGGCUCUUCAGCUCCGAGCGGCACCUGCAGGAAGACAUAUGGCCCGCUAGCUUUUGUUUACUUCAGCGCCAUAUGCGCUGAGUGAUGCAGGCAGAUCCAAGCAUUCAUAUUUACACGCGCACAUAUGCCUACGUGUGGAUGCACACAGUCACCCUUCCUCGAUUCAAAAACACCCACAUAAACACAAUCACACGCCUCGGCUCACACAUUUUCUCACGGCUGGAAAAAGAAAAGGGAUGGUAAUGUUUUCAUCACGACAUGUAAAUCUUUAAGAGAGCGAAACAAACCCUGAUGAAUACUUGGAGGUCUGUGAGCAGUGAUGGAUGGCAGACAGAGCGAUGUGGGAUAAGGACACCGGAGACUUCCUCCUCACUCUUUGUUUUCCCUCAGAUGUGACGUGACAGACAACCUCUGUCUGGCAGAGGAGCCUUCAGUCAUUAAUUAAACAUUAACCACUCCAGCUCCAGGACGUCAGGCAGCGUCUUCUGACAGAUGUCAGAGUUCCCAACAUGCCUCACUGACUUAAUGUCACCAAAGUAAGGAAGUGAACAAGGUGCAGCAUUAAAAUCAUUUAAAAAUCUGUCUGAAUGUCAGGACAAGAGGAGCAGGACGGAGCUGCAGAGCUUACUCAUUCAUGCCCUGCAGAGUUUGUGGACGGCUGAGCCUCGUCUUUAAAUGACAGGGUUGCUGAGGUUGUCGGUUUUCAUUGAGCCUCUAGUUGGCGACUGAAAUAAAAGUUUUAAAAAGUGUAAGAAUGAGAGCUUAAUUAAAGCUGCAAGUGGCGAUAAACGGGUCUAUGUCGGGACCUGAAGCAGCUGAGGGAUGUUCACCGGAGCGAGACUGUGCUGCAGCGAGGACUGAGCAGGAAUAAGUGGAAGAAAAACCAGGAGGUGAAUGUCUCUGUAGAUCCACUCAGACUCCGACUGUCAGCAUGUGUUUAAUAUAGAAAAUGUCGUGUGAGGUAAUACCACUUCGUCCAACAGGGGGCACUGUUUCUAUGAACAGGCUCAAACCCACGGAAGAUGAGAACGGCCAUGAUGUUUUUUUUAUACACUGUCAUCUUGUGAUAAUGACUUAUUAUCUCGUUAUCUCAGUGUAACAGAGUUCAUUCAGUUCCUGCGGCGUUUCCGAAAUAUCCCAAAUCUGGAGGGCAUUUUUAAAAGUUACCGUUGAGGUCGGCGAGAACGCCAUUUCUGUUAUCACAAGAAAACAAACAAGAUAAGUCAUUAUCAUGAGAUAACGGUGCAUAAAAAAGAAAAAUCCAUGGCUGUGUUCGUCUUCUGUACAUUCCAUGUAUGCAGAAGUUAGGACCAUGUGUUUCCACUGGGUGGCGCUAUAACAGUAGAGCAGAAAUUGGCACAUAGAUGUGUUUAGGGAUUGAUAUUAAUCAUGUAUAUGAAAUAUCAAACAGAUCAACUGCUUUAAGAAGGAGAAACCUGGGAUUUUCACCCCAUCUGGAAUGGCUCUGAUCCGGAAUGGAGGCGAUUUUCGCUGUAUGCCAAUCCCUGUCGGAUCCGUUUGUGAGACAAAUUUCGUGGCGGAUUACGGACCGCAGGAAUCACGAUCAGAACCCGCAGAUUCAUGAGCAAUUUCACGAUAACAAGUUGUCUUCCUGUUUGUGUUGAGGCCUUUAAAUCUGUGAUUAUUUAAUCAGAAGAUCGAAAGAAUCGUUAUCCGUGGAUUCAAACGAGGUUUUUACACCAGAGAAAGGAAAAUGCAGGAAUAUAUUAAGCCAAUAAAUCUGUCUUUGACCCUCAUACUGAUAAAUCACUCGCUGCAGAAGCCGGACAAGCUCAGUUACAAGUCCAACUAGUUCAUGUUUCCUCAUCGACUGAUUAAAUUAGAUUCAUUAGAUCAUCACCGUCUUAGUCUGGAUCCUGCGCACAGUUUGAGGCGUGAUCGCUAAUUGCCGGCAGAAAAAGGUGAGGAAACAUGGAGCUACUCUUUGGCAACAACUCCCUCUGCGAGCUCCUCUUAAUGAGGAGGUGGGCAGCAUAUGAAUUCAUCCCCCUGGUGGAGUGGAGUGUGAGCUCUGUUGAUGAUUAAAAAUAACUGAGGAUAUGACUUCUGGCAACUGCAGACAUUUCAUUCUUGGAGCUGAUCUUCAUCUGCAGAGCCAGAUGGAUCUGACCUGGACCUGAUGAGCUCGUUAACGGGGACCUGGAGCUGCAUCACAGUCCGGAGGCGAUUGAUUAACACGGGAGGUGGUGGAGCGGGGAUAACAACUGCACUGAAUAGACGGUUUUCUAAUAAGUCGAGUUAGAAACUUUUAAUGAGGGCUGCAACUGGUUAUUAUUUCCUAUUGAUUAUCGAGUUCUUCAAUAGUUCCGUGGGAGAGCACAUUUAAAGUUCUCUGAGUCCAGGAUGAGAACUUCAGGGAGUGUUUGGCACUUUUUAAUUAAGGAGAUGUAACAGUUUAUCAAAAGUAUUGAUGAACUUGGUAUUGAUAAGGUGAGUGAUUAAAAGUAGGAGGAUCGACGGAUUUCACUUUACACUAUCAAUCCAAACCCAAUCGUUUACCGACGUCCAUGCUGAAGACCUGAGUGUAAUGACCCUCGCCACGCUGUCAUGAAACGGUCGAUAACCCGAUUCCUAAGUUUUAAAAGCUUUAUUCAAUCGCUCAAGACCCGGAUGGUGACCAUUUACCAAAGUGAUCUACAGAGUCCACCUGAGAUAUCAAGAACAUCUAACACUGUUAUUCACCCACAGCUAACCCUCAAAUUCCACCGUGUGUUGAACGGUGCUACUGCGUAACGGUUGCGCCAAAGCCUACCAGAUGUGUUUUUGAGGCGGAUUUUGGAGGGCGGGAAUCAUGACGACAAACCUGCGAAUUCACAUGCGAUAGCAGGAUAAUGAGCUGUCUCUAUAAAGACAGACACAUAACCGUAUAAGAAAUAUAUAUUGGUACGAAUUUGUAACUUACCAUCCACUCCCAUUACUCCUGCUAUAGAGUCCCACGCCAUUUCCUUUUUACCAUUGUCUGUAUUUAAGGAAUGAGACCGGUCAGAGAUUAUUCCAUGAUUUUGGACUUCUAAAAACAGCAUCUCCUCAUCAUGGUGUCAAUGUGGUGAAAUGACGUCUGAAAACCCAUGACUUGUUCGUCCGCGCCCAUGUUUGCAUGGUGUGAAAUACGAUCCGUAUAAAGAAAUUCAGGUUUUAUUUUGAAAAGACGGCAAAUGUUUUAUUUCUUGUCUGAGCCUGACUUCCUUUCCAGCACGGGUUCAUGUGUGCUGAAUGUAUACGGCAUGCUCUGGCGUCCACAAAAAAUAGAACCUUAGCGAACGGCUAUGAAGCCCGCUGAACUGCAGCAGAUCGGAA
rnacentral:lncRNA from 1 species